rnacentral:lncRNA from 1 species
GGGGAUGAGAAGGAGGAAGACAGAGAAACGCAGAAAAGCCUAAGCAGGCACCACAAAGAGACCGAGCCCGUCUGAAAGAGGCUGCUCUAACCUGGUGGAAACUAUUUUAAGUUGCCACCAGACAUUACAUUCCAGAGCCUUGAGAAAAACUGAUGAAAAAAAAGUCAUGAAAAAAAGUCAUUCGCACAAGUGACACCAUGGUGUGAAGUCAAGGAGCACAGACUCUGGAGUCAGAGGGCUUGAGUCAACCUGAGCAUCUUCAGCUUUGACUGUGAAGACACAGCUUUGACUCUCUGUGUUGCAGAGAUGGUAGUGCCCACUCCAGUGACGCUUGUGAGGAUUAGUUGAGAUAAUAAAUACAAAAUGCUGAGCAUCAAACCUAGAGUAGAGAAAGGUCUCAACCUGGCUAAUGUUAUCCAGACAUAUCUGAAACCUCAUGAGUGGCAUGGAAUGGCAGUCCCUGCUUGAACCAUUUACCUCCUUUCCUAACACCAACAAUCACACACACCUGACACUGACCUGAAGCCUCUGGCCUGUCCUCGGAGGCAAAGACUGGGUAGACAAGAUGCCUGGUUACCAGCAAUCUUCUGCAAUUUCCUCUGAGCUAUUGAGAUUGCUUUUCUCUUUGCUCAAAUUAUGUGAGAAACUUUUAAAAAAGAAUUUAAUGUGCUCUUUUGAUAUUUCAGGUGUUCAUUCAAAAGCCUAUGUUAUUCUCUGUCUCUCUGUCUCUUUUCCUAGUUGGGUAAUCAAAAUGGCACAAUCAGAAAUAUUUAUAUCUGCAACAGAAAAGAAGAAUAAAUUUAUUCAUGCACAAGUACAUUAUGUACAUAUAUAUGUUUGUGUAUACAUAUAUCUGUAUAAUUGAUAUAUUUGGGAGAAAUAAAAGGUUUCAUUAAGCACACAAGUUCUAGAGUUAGACCCUCUGUCGCAAAUUACUGUCCUGUCACUUAACUCCUGCCAGAACAAAGUGCAUACUUGAACAAAAUGCCUGCUCUGUAAAAAUGCCUUGAUCUUGAAUAAAAUGCCUGCUAGGUCAAAGCUUCUAUUUUCCCACCUAGAAAAUGGGAACAAUAAUAAGAAUCCUCACUUAAUAGAUAAUGGAAAAAGUUGCUUGCAGCACAGAGCCUGCUACAGACAAUGCCUUCAAUUAAUGCAAACUAUUAAUAUUAUGAAAAGUGAGUAUCUGUUUUCUGACAAUGUUUUCAAUAAUAUAAAUUCUGCCUUUGUUCACUUUAUUUGUUUGAAAAAACAAAUAAAAAACCAAACAAAAAAGUGUC